rnacentral:misc_RNA from 1 species
GAUGAAGAACGUAGCGAAAUGCGAUAAGUAAUGUGAAUUGCAGAAUUCAGUGAAUCAUCGAAUCUUUGAACGCACCUUGCGCCCUUUGGCUAUUCCGAAGGGCAUGCCUGUUUGAGUAUCAUGAACACCUCAACUCUCAUGGUUUGCCAUGAUGAGCUUGGACUUUGGGGGUCUUGCCGGCCUAUGGGUCGGCUCCUCUCAAAUUAAUCAGCUCGCCAGUGUUUGGUGGCAUCACAGGUGUGAUAACUAUCUACGCUUGUGGUUUUCCAUCAGGUAACCUUCAGUGAUGGAGGUUCGCUGGGGCUCAUAAAUGUCUCUCCUCAGUGAGGACAGCUUUUUUGAACGUUUGAUCUCAAAUCAGGUAGGACUACCCGCUGAACUUAAGCAUAUCAAUAAGCGGAGGA